rnacentral:rRNA from 1 species
AGGAAUCUGCCUAUUAGUGGGGGACAACAUCUCGAAAGGGAUGCUAAUACCGCAUACGUCCUACGGGAGAAAGCAGGGGACCUUCGGGCCUUGCGCUAAUAGAUGAGCCUAAGUCGGAUUAGCUAGUUGGUGGGGUAAAGGCCUACCAAGGCGACGAUCUGUAGCGGGUCUGAGAGGAUGAUCCGCCACACUGGGACUGAGACACGGCCCAGACUCCUACGGGAGGCAGCAGUGGGGAAUAUUGGACAAUGGGGGGAACCCUGAUCCAGCCAUGCCGCGUGUGUGAAGAAGGCCUUUUGGUUGUAAAGCACUUUAAGCGAGGAGGAGGCUACCGAAAUUAAUACUCUUGGAUAGUGGACGUUACUCGCAGAAUAAGCACCGGCUAACUCUGUGCCAGCAGCCGCGGUAAUACAGAGGGUGCAAGCGUUAAUCGGAUUUACUGGGCGUAAAGCGCGCGUAGGUGGCCAAUUAAGUCAAAUGUGAAAUCCCCGAGCUUAACUUGGGAAUUGCAUUCGAUACUGGUUGGCUAGAGUAUGGGAGAGGAUGGUAGAAUUCCAGGU